rnacentral:rRNA from 1 species
AGUGAACGCUGGCGGUAGGCCUAACACAUGCAAGUCGAACGGCAGCACAGUAAGAGCUUGCUCUUACGGGUGGCGAGUGGCGGACGGGUGAGGAAUACAUCGGAAUCUACUUUUUCGUGGGGGAUAACGUAGGGAAACUUACGCUAAUACCGCAUACGACCUACGGGUGAAAGCGGGGGAUCUUCGGACCUUGCGCGAUUGAAUGAGCCGAUGUCGGAUUAGCUAGUUGGCGGGGUAAAGGCCCACCAAGGCGACGAUCCGUAGCUGGUCUGAGAGGAUGAUCAGCCACACUGGAACUGAGACACGGCCCAGACUCCUACGGGAGGCAGCAGUGGGGAAUAUUGGACAAUGGGCGCAAGCCUGAUCCAGCCAUACCGCGUGGGUGAAGAAGGCCUUCGGGUUGUAAAGCCCUUUUGUUGGGAAAGAAAAGCAGCAGGUUAAUACCCCGCUGUUCUGACGGUACCCAAAGAAUAAGCACCGGCUAACUUCGUG